GACGGGGGGGGCAAGUGUUCUUCGGAAUGACUGGGCGUAAAGAGCUCGUAGGCGGUUUGUCGCGUCUGCUGUGAAACCCGAGGCUCAACCUCGGGCCGCAGUGGGUACGGGCAGACUAGAGUGGCGGUAGGGGAGAUUGGAAUUCCUGGUGUAGCGGUGGAAUGCGCAGAUAUCGAGGAGGAACACCAAUGGCGAAGGCAGAUCUCUGGGCCGUAACUGACGCUGGAGGAGCGAAAGCAUGGGGAGCGAACAGG
rnacentral:rRNA from 1 species